AGAGUUGAUCCUGGCUUAGGAUGAACGCAGCGGCAGGCUUAACACAUGCAAGUCGAGGGCAGCGCGAGUAGCAAUACUUGGCGGCGACCGGCGCAAGGGUGCGUAACGCGUGAGCAACAUGCCCGUAUCAGGGGGAUAAUCCAGGGAAACUUGGUCUAAUACCCCAUAGUAAUUUUGAAGGCAUCUUAUAAGAUUUAAGCUUUGGUGGAUACGGAUUGGCUCGCGUGACAUUAGCUGGAUGGUAAGGUAACGGCUUACCAUGGCUAUGAUGUCUAGGGGUUCUGAGAGGAAGGUCCCCCACACUGGAACUGAGACACGGUCCAGACUCCUACGGGAGGCAGCAGUGAGGAAUAUUGGACAAUGGAUGGAAAUCUGAUCCAGCCAUGCCGCGUGAAGGAAGAAGGUCCUAUGGAUUGUAAACUUCUUUGUAUGGGAGCAAUAAGGCCUACGAGUAGGUUGAUGAGAGUACCAUACGAAUAAGCACCGGCUAACUCCGUGCCAGCCGCUGC
rnacentral:rRNA from 1 species